AGCGUAGGCGGAUAGUUUAGUCAGAGGUGAAAGCCCAGGGCUCAACCUUGGAAUUGCCUUUGAUACUGGCUAUCUUGAGUACGGAAGAGGUAUGUGGAACUCCGAGUGUAGAGGUGAAAUUCGUAGAUAUUCGGAAGAACACCAGUGGCGAAGGCGACAUACUGGUCCGUUACUGACGCUGAGGCUCGAAAGCGUGGGGAGCAAACAGGAUUAGAUACCCUGGUAGUCCACGCUGUAAACGAUGAGUGCUAGUUGUCGGCAGGCAUGCCUGUCGGUGACGCAGCUAACGCAUUAAGCACUCCGCCUGGGGAGUACGGUCGCAAGAUUAAA
rnacentral:rRNA from 1 species